AAAGGAAGUUGACGGGGCCCGGCACAAGCAGCGGAGCAUGUGGUUUAAUUCGAAGCAACGCGAAGAACCUUACCAAGACUUGACAUCCCCUGACAGCUGUUGAAAGGCAGUGUCUCUUCGGAGCAGGGAGACAGGUGGUGCAUGGUUGUCGUCAGCUCGUGUCGUGAGAUGUUGGGUUAAGUCCCGCAACGAGCGCAACCCUUAUCCUUAGUUACCAGCACGUAAAGGUGGGGACUCUAGGGAGACCGCCGGGGACGACUCGGAGAAAGGUGGGGACGACGUCAAGUCAUCAUGGCCCUUACGGCCUGGGCUACACACGUGCUACAAUGGUCGGUACAAAGGGUUGCCAAGCCGCGAGGUGGAGCUAAUCCCAUAAAACCGAUCGUAGUCCGGAUCGCAGUCUGCAACUCGACUGCGUGAAGUCGGAAUCGCUAGUAAUCGUGAAUCAGAAUGUCACGGUGAAUACGUUCCCGGGCCUU
rnacentral:rRNA from 1 species